GGGAUAGUGUGACCCUCUUAAUGGAUUGAGGGCGAAGCGAAGCGGCUGGUUACCAGGCAAAUCCGGUAACCAUAAGGCUAGAUCGUGACAGGUAAGCGAAAUCUUAGGAAAGUAGCGAAGCACAUGAUGACGGCUUCCAGGAAAAGCUUCUGGCAAUGCAUAUGCGGCCCGUACCAAAACCGACACAGGUGGGCAGGGAGAGAAUCCCGAGGUGAGCGAGAGAACUGUUGCCAAGGAACUCGGCAAAAUGACUCCGUAAGUUAGCGAGAAGGAGUGCUUAAGCAAUUAAGCCGCAGUGAAGAGGCCCAAGCGACUGUUUAACUAAAACACAGCUCUCUGCGAAGUCGCAAGACGAAGUAUAGGGGGUGACACCUGCCCGGUGCUGGAAGGCUAAGAGGAUCUGUUAAGAGCGAUCUGAAGCAGUGAUCCGAAGCCCCAGUGAACGGCGGCCGUAACAAUAACGGUCCUAGGUAGCGAAAUUCCUUGUCAGGUAAGAUCUGACCCGCACGAAAGGUGUAACGAUUUGGGCGCUGUCUCGGCAGCAGACUCGGUGAAAUCUUAGUACCUGUGAAAAUGCAGGUUACCCGCAACUAGACGGAAAGACCCCAUGGAGCUUUACUGCAGCCUGAUAUUGAAUUCUGGUCAUACAUGUACAGGAUAGGUGGGAGACAAAGAGACGUGCACGCCAGUGUACGAGGAGUCGACGUUGGGAUACCACUCUUGUGUGACUGGGGUUCUAACCUGGUAUCGAGAACAGGUACGGGGAGAGUGUCAGGUGGGCAGUUUGACUGGGGCGGUCGCCUCCCAAAGAGUAACGGAGGCGCCCAAAGGUACGCUCAGAUUGGAUGGAAACCAAUCGUCGAGUGCAAUUGCAGAAGCGUGCUUGACUGUGAGACAGACAAGUCGAACAGGGACGAAAGUCGGGAAUAGUGAUCCGGCGGUGCCGAAUGGAAGGGCCGUCGCUCAACGGAUAAAAGCUACCCUGGGGAUAACAGGCUGAUCUCGCCCAAGAGUUCACAUCGACGGCGAGGUUUGGCACCUCGAUGUCGGCUCAUCGCAUCCUGGAGCUGGAUUCGGUUCCAAGGGUUGGGCUGUCCGCCCAUUAAAGCGGUACGCGAGCUGGGUUCAGAACGUCGUGAGACAGUUCGGUCCCUAUCUGUUGUGGGCGAAGGAGAUCUGCGGAGAGCUGUCCUCAGUACGAGAGGACCGGGAUGGACCUACCGCUGGUGCACCGGUUGUUCCGCCAGGGGCAUAGCCGGGUAGCUAAGUAGGGAAAGGAUAAGCGCUGAAAGCAUCUAAGCACGAAGCCUACUCCAAGAUGAGAUCUCCCAUUCGCAAGAAGUAAGACCCCUUAAAGACGAUAAGGUAGAUAGGCCAGGGAUGGAAGUGCAGUGAUGUACGGAGUUGACUGGUACUAAUCGGUCGAGGACUUAAU
rnacentral:rRNA from 1 species